rnacentral:rRNA from 1 species
CCUACGGGGGGCUGCAGUAAGGAAUAUUGGUCAAUGGACGAAAGUCUGAACCAGCCAUGCCGCGUGGAGGAUGAAGGUCCUCUGGAUUGUAAACUUCUUUUAUAUGGGACGAAAAAAGGCCUUUCUAGGCCGUCUGACGGUACCAUAUGAAUAAGCACCGGCUAACUCCGUGCCAGCAGCCGCGGUAAUACGGAGGGUUCAAGCGUUACUGGGAUUCACGGGGUUGAAGGGGGGCGGAUAAGGGAGUGGUGAAAGCUCCGAGCUUAACUUGGAAACUGCCAUUGAUACUAUUAAUCUUGAAUAUUGUGGAGGUUAGCGGAAUAUGUCAUGUAGCGGUGAAAUGCUUAGAUAUGACAUAGAACACCAAUUGCGAAGGCAGCUGGCUACACAUAUAUUGACACUGAGGCACGAAAGCGUGGGGAUCAAACAGGAUUAGAUACCCUGGUAGUC